rnacentral:rRNA from 1 species
UACGUAGGGUGCAAGCGUUGUCCGGAAUUAUUGGGCGUAAAGAGCUCGUAGGCGGCCUGUCGCGUCGGCUGUGAAAACCCGGGGCUCAACCCCGGGCCUGCAGUCGAUACGGGCAGGCUAGAGUCCGGCAGGGGAGACUGGAAUUCCUGGUGUAGCGGUGAAAUGCGCAGAUAUCAGGAGGAACACCGGUGGCGAAGGCGGGUCUCUGGGCCGUAACUGACGCUGAGGAGCGAAAGCGUGGGGAGCGAACAGG